UUGCACAGUUCAUUGUCCUGCUCUUCUUUUCCUUAAGAGCAGUGAUAUUUCUGUUGUGCUAGAAAAUGCUGGAGGUAAAUUAGCAGAGUGGCUGCUUUGUGCUUCCUCUGCCAGUCCCCUUCACACAUAA